rnacentral:piRNA from 1 species
UAGUUAUGGUUUGCCCAGUUAUCAACAGC